GCCCCACUCCUCCCUCACCGCCCCCGCGCCGUGAGACGACACAAGAUGGCGGCGGUCGGGCCCAGGCCGGGGGAGCGGCAGCGGGCUGGGCUGCCCGGUGUCGCGCAGGGAGCCGUAACCCGCAUGUCUUCCCUGCUUUAUUAACCACGGAGCUCGAGGAGCAGCAGAAGAGGCAGCGUGCGCCCUGUUUUCAGCCCUGAAAUGACACCGAGAUACUUGAACGCGGGCGGACGGGAGAGAAUGGUGCCCUGAUGCGCUGAAGGGCUGUACCAGGAUCAGUGCUACAGAAAGCAGCACGCAGGCAGCAGCAGGAGAGAAAGGGAUUUAUCAUAGCAACACUGAACCAAGACUACGCCUCAGCUCUUCAUAUGGAACUGAUGACAGAGGAAGCUGCAGAACUGAAAGCAGUCAGUCCUUGACUGCAUGAGACCAUGCUUCUCACAGAAGGCAAAUGAUGUCUUACUUAAAAAAUUUUAUGAAAUGCAAACUUAAUGAUUCACUUUUCUUAGAGCUGUUACACUUGAAUAACUGCGCAAGGUUAAGGUUCCUACUCACUUCAAAUUAAGAUUUAUAGUUUGAUUUGCUGUGAAGACUAUGGAGGUCAAAUUAAAAAAAAAAACAGCAAAAACUCUUCUUUUAGCAUACAGGGUUUUUCUUUCUCCUACUACAGGAGAGCCUUUUUAGAUACAUGGUGAACUAAAACUUAACAAGUACAGAACAAAACAUACACAACAACAUUUUUUCACAGAAAAAAGUAGCCUCUGAAAACGUGAAGUUGUCAGUAAAAAGGAAUACAACAGCAAAGUACAUAAUAUAGCAAUACUUUUAUAUUAUUGCAACAGCAAUAAUACUAUCAGUAAGUACUAUCACUAAAUCAGUAGAAAAGUAACUGCUUACAAAUGCAAAUACUGACCUAAUAUUAAUUAAUCAAUACUGCUGCAGGCAUUGAGUGUGGAUAACUGUAUUUUCAGCUUUGUAGUGCAGAACUUCUGGUUGUAAACUUGUGUGCUUUAAUGAUUUAAAUAACAGUUUGGACCUUUUGCUUUAUACUGUUUGUGUCUAGCUUAAAGAUAAAUGUCUGGUAACUU